rnacentral:rRNA from 1 species
UACGUAGGUGGCAAGCGUUGUCCGGAUUUACUGGGCGUAAAGAGCGCGCAGGCGGUCGUUCAAGUCGCGUGUGAAAGCCCCCGGCUCAACUGGGGAGGGUCACGCGAUACUGAUCGACUCGAAGGCAGGAGAGGGUAGUGGAAUUCCCGGUGUAGAGGUGAAAUUCGUAGAUAUUGGGAAGAACACCGGUGGCGAAGGCGGCGACCUGGUCCAUUACUGACGCUGAGGCGCGACAGCGUGGGGAGCAAACAGG